GGUAACAGGGCCACGCUGCGAUCCCAAAGCAGACACAGCUGUUGCCGUUUGUGGGGCUCCCAUCAGCCGGUGCCUGGCCUCCAGGCCUCCUUGCCGUUUGAUCCCCAGGAAAUCUCUGUGAGUGGAAUCGUGAUGAAGACGGGUGAGACUCUAUGGGUCUGGAUCACCUUCUCCUGGCAAACUCUGCACCUUUAUCACCGCCUCUGAGAAGCCUGCCCUGAUUCCUCCAGGGAAGCCAGCCAUCAGGUUGUGAGCUGCCCUAUAGAGAGGCUCCUGUGGGAAGAAUGGAGGGAGCGCCCUGCCCAACAGCCACAGGGGAAACCAGGCCCACCAGUAGCCCAGGAGAAAGUGAAUCCUGCCAACAGCCAUGGGUGUGAGGUUGGGAUUGGAUCCUUCCCCAGUCGAGCCUUAGGAUGACAUCACAGCCUCCGCCAACAUCUUGACCGUGGCCUGUGAGAGA